AAUACGUUCCCGGGCCUUGUACACACCGCCCGUCACACCAUGGGAGUUGGUUUUACCCGAAGCCGGUGCGGUAACCCGUAAGGGGGGCUAGCCGACCACGGUAAGGUCAGCGACUGGGGUG
rnacentral:rRNA from 1 species